rfam:Triticum aestivum genome assembly, contig: Triticum_aestivum_CS42_TGACv1_scaffold_579168_7BL
CAAAUACUCCCUCCGUCCGAAAAAAUUGUCAUCAAAAUGGAUAAAAGGAAAUGUAUCUAGACGUAUUUUAGUUUUAGAUACAUCUCUUUUUAUCCAUUUUGAUGACAAGUAUUUUCGGACGGAGGGAGUAGAAA